rnacentral:rRNA from 1 species
AACAUUGGGACUGAGACACGGCCCCAAACUCCUACGGGAGGCAGCAGUAGGGAAUCUUCCACAAUGGACGAAAGUCUGAUGGAGCAACGCCGCGUGAGUGAAGAAGGGUUUCGGCUCGUAAAACUCUGUUGUUAAAGAAGAACAUAUCUGAGAGUUAACUGUUCAGGUAUUGACGGUAUUUAACCAGAAAGCCACGGCUAACUACGUGCCAGCAGCCGCGGUAAUACGUAGGUGGCAAGCGUUGUCCGGAUUUAUUGGGCGUAAAGCGAGCGCAGGCGGUUUUUUAAGUCUGAUGUGAAAGCCUUCGGCUCAACCGAAGAAGUGCAUCGGAAACUGGGAAACUUGAGUGCAGAAGAGGACAGUGGAACUCCAUGUGUAGCGGUGAAAUGCGUAGAUAUAUGGAAGAACACCAGUGGCGAAGGCGGCUGUCUGGUCUGUAACCUGACGCUGAGGCUCGAAAGUAUGGGUAGCAAACAGGAUUAGAUACCCUGGUAGUCCAUACCGUAAACGAUGAAUGCUAAGUGUUGGAGGGUUUCCGCCCUUCAGUGCUGCAGCUAAACGCAUUAAGCAUUCCGCCUGGGGAGUACGGCCGCAAGGCUGAAACUCAAAGGAAUUGACGGGGGCCCGCACAAGCGGUGGAGCAUGUGGUUUAAUUCGAAGCUACGCGAAGAACCUUACCAGGUCUUGACAUACUAUGCAAAUCUAAGAGAUUAGACGUUCCCUUCGGGGACAUGGAUACAGGUGGUGCAUGGUUGUCGUCAGCUCGUGUCGUGAGAUGUUGGGGUUAAGUCCCGCAACGAGCGCAACCCUUAUUAUCAGUUGCCAGCAUUAAGUUGGGCACUCUGGUGAGACUGCCGGUGACAAACCGGAGGAAGGUGGGGAUGACGUCAAAUCAUCAUGCCCCUUAUUGACCUGGGCUACACACGUGCUACAAUGC